GAGAGGGCGGAGUGUCCUUGUGCGGACAUUUGGAUUUCGUAGCUUGCCCUUGAACUAGGCAAGAAUAAACAGGAGCGCUUUCCUGGUUUUGUUUAGUUCAGGGCCGUCGCAGCGCCUCCCCUCGCAACGCGCACGGCUCCGUGGGUGGCUUUCGGUGGCGCAGCCCCACAGCCCCCCACUCGCUUCGGAAGCACACGGAACUGUGGUGGAAGGAGGAAGAGGCCGCAUGAAGCUGCUGAGCAUGCACAAACGUGGAAAGGACGAGAAAAUAAAAAUAGGCCGAAAGAGCUUUCGAAGUUCAACGUGGAAGUUGAUCUUCAACAAAAGUGCAACCUCCCAGAGGCCACCAAGAAAAUGAGCUCCGUGAUAGCGUUCCCGAGGAUCUGCACGGAUCUUCAUGGCAGAUGGCAACCCAGGCAGAAUCCAUGAGGGGGGGUACAACAUAGCGCGCCAAGCAACGGGGGCGACAAAGGAGGAAGAAGGAAAAGAUCCCGUCUUCCCAGUUCGACAGAUGGAUUUGGAUUUUUCAUUUGUCGGAGUGUUACGAAUCCAACUCACAAAGAAUGAAGCAGCUUUUAGCGGGUGUCACACUGGCAACCCUCCUCCCGGUUAACAUUUCUAAUUGACUUCAAAAGCCGUCAUUGGCAGUGGAUGACUUCGAAAACAUGUGAGUCAGUCUCGGCAGAAAAUGACUUUUGAUACGCUGUUGUGAUUCAAAAAAAUUGGACUCUUUUCAUCAUAUUUACAGAAAUGGUAGACAAUGGAGCAAGUCAAGUCCUGAUUGUCAUUUUCCAGCACCAUCCAGAUGCAGUGAAGAGCUGCCAAGAUAUGCCAAUGAGUCCCAGCCUGGCCGGCCUCGAGUGCUCGUGGGGAGUCCGGCCUUGGCGUCAUUUGGUCAACUUUUCGGGCUACUCGUCUCAGGACGUUGUGGGAGGUUUUGUGUCCGGACACGAGGGAGGACUCGG